UACGGGGGGGGCAAGCGUUGUUCGGAAUUACUGGGCGUAAAGGGCUCGUAGGCGGCCAACUAAGUCAGACGUGAAAUCCCUCGGCUUAACCGGGGGACUGCGUCUGAUACUGGAUGGCUUGAGGUUGGGAGAGGGAUGCGGAAUUCCAGGUGUAGCGGUGAAAUGCGUAGAUAUCUGGAGGAACACCGGUGGCGAAGGCGGCAUCCUGGACCAAUUCUGACGCUGAGGAGCGAAAGCCAGGGGAGCAAACAGG
rnacentral:rRNA from 1 species